rnacentral:rRNA from 1 species
GACGAACGCUGGCGGCGUGCUUAACACAUGCAAGUCGAACGGAAAGGCCCUGCUUUUGUGGGGUGCUCGAGUGGCGAACGGGUGAGUAACACGUGAGUAACCUGCCCUUGUCUUUGGGAUAACUUCAGGAAACUGGGGCUAAUACCGGAUAGGAGCUCCUGCUGCAUGGUGGGGGUUGGAAAGUUUCGGCGGUUGGGGAUGGACUCGCGGCUUAUCAGCUUGUUGGUGGGGUAGUGGCUUACCAAGGCUUUGACGGGUAGCCGGCCUGAGAGGGUGACCGGCCACAUUGGGACUGAGAUACGGCCCAGACUCCUACGGGAGGCAGCAGGGGGGAAUAUUGCACAAUGGGCGGAAGCCUGAUGCAGCAACGCCGCGUGCGGGAUGACGGCCGUCGGGUUGGAAACCGCUUUCGCCUGUGACGAAGCGUGAGUGACGGUAAUGGGUAAAGAAGCACCGGCUAACUACGUG